rnacentral:rRNA from 1 species
CCUACGGGGGGCUGCAGUGGGGAAUAUUGGACAAUGGGCGAAAGCCUGAUCCAGCCAUGCCGCGUGUGUGAAGAAGGCCUUCGGGUUGUAAAGCACUUUCAGUGGGGAAGAAAGCCUUGGGGCUAAUACCCUCGAGGAAGGACAUCACCCACAGAAGAAGCACCGGCUAACUCCGUGCCAGCAGCCGCGGUAAUACGGAGGGUGCGAGCGUUAAUCGGAAUUACUGGGCGUAAAGCGCGCGUAGGCGGUCUGAUAAGCCGGUUGUGAAAGCCCCGGGCUCAACCUGGGAACGGCAUCCGGAACUGUCAGGCUAGAGUGCAGGAGAGGAAGGUAGAAUUCCCGGUGUAGCGGUGAAAUGCGUAGAGAUCGGGAGGAAUACCAGUGGCGAAGGCGGCCUUCUGGACUGACACUGACGCUGGGGUGCGAAAGCGUGGGUAGCAAACAGGAUUAGAUACCCGGGUAGUC